CUGCCCACCCCCUGGCGGUGGGCCCGCGGGCCUGUGGGGGCUGCGGCCACUGGCGGCGCCCUCCCCGCCGGCCGGGAGCUGCGAGGACCCGGGAGCUGCGGCCGGCCUCAGCCCAUGGCCCGGAGGUACAAUGAGCUGCCCCACUACCCCAGCAUCGUGGACGGCCCCGCAGCCCUGGCUGGCUUCUCUGAGGCCACGAGAGCCCCGGGACCCUAUGGCCCCCACCGAGCUCCCCAGCCCCCACCCCCGGGCUUGGACAGUGACAGCCUGAAGAGGGAGAAGGAUGAGAUUUACGGACACCCCCUCUUCCCCCUUCUGGCCCUGGUCUUUGAGAAGUGUGAACUGGCCACAUGCUCUCCCCGUGAUGGGGCCGGGGCUGGGCUGGGCACACCCCCCGGUGGGGACGUCUGCUCAUCCGAUUCCUUCAACGAGGAUAUUGCUGCCUUCGCCAAGCAGGUCCGCUCUGAGAGGCCCCUCUUCUCUUCCAACCCAGAGCUGGACAAUCUGAUGAUACAGGCCAUUCAGGUGCUUCGGUUCCACCUGUUGGAGUUAGAGAAGGUCCACGACCUGUGCGACAACUUCUGUCACCGCUACAUCACCUGCCUCAAGGGAAAGAUGCCCAUUGACCUGGUCAUUGAGGAUCGGGAUAUAGGCUGCAGGGAGGACCUCGAGGACUACCCGGCUUCCUGCCCCAGCCUCCCAGACCAGAAUAAUACAUGGAUUCGAGACCACGAGGACAGUGGGUCUGUACAUUUGGGUACCCCGGGUCCAUCCAGUGGGGGCCUGGCCUCCCAGAGUGGGGACAACUCCAGCGACCAAGGAGAUGGGCUGGAUACAAGCGUGGCCUCUCCCAGCUCUGGGGGAGAGGAUGAGGAGUUGGACCAGGAGCGGCGGCGGAACAAGAAGAGGGGCAUCUUUCCCAAGGUGGCCACCAACAUCAUGAGAGCCUGGUUGUUCCAGCAUCUCUCGCCCCACCACAGCCCAGAGCUGCCGUCCCUGGGGGCCUGGUGGGCCUUGGGGACCAGACAGCGGGCAGGCAGACAAGAUGACUCUUACUGGUGGCCUCAGCACCCCUACCCCUCGGAGGAGCAGAAGAAACAGUUGGCACAAGACACAGGGCUCACCAUCCUGCAGGUCAACAACUGGUUCAUUAACGCCCGGAGACGGAUCGUACAGCCAAUGAUCGAUCAAUCCAAUCGCACAGUCUGCACCCCUCAAUCCCCUCUACAGGGCAGGGUGCAGCCUUCAGCCCAGAAGGCCAAUCCGUGGGGGGCUACACAGAGACUCAGCCACAUGUGACCAGCAGGCUGUCAGGAUCGAUGCGGAUGAGCCUGAACUUAGAAGGAGAGUGGCAUUAUCUAUAGAGGCUGGAUUCAGGAAAUGUACCCCAGCCUCUGGACUGUGACUCCCAGGCUCACACCUGGUCCCAGUUCCCACGUGGUCUUCUGACUUCAGGACCCCACCUCCGAAGGCCCCCCUCCCACUUAACGCCUACCUCCCUGAGGCCCCUCCGGGACACGGGGGCCUGAGUGCUCCUUUGAGGGUCUCUCAAGGACAAAGACAGGGCCUCCAGACUGUGAGCCCCGCUUCUGCCCUAACCUCUGCCAGCCAGUGCUGAGAUCCUGGGCCUGGGUCUUAAGAAGAUGGUGGCUGGAAACCCCACCUCCAGGACAGAGAAGGGGUUGGGGGUGGGCUGGGCUGUCAAGAAAGGCGGGCCAGGAUCCGACAUUUUGAGGGAGGCUCCCUUCACCCUCCCAACCACUCCCCUUCUCUCUCCCUACCUCCCUUCUCCGACUUCGGCUACUUUUUUUUUUUUUUUCUAACGAUAAAGUCUUAAAAAC